UCUGGCCAUCCUUGGGGAGAUCCUGUUUGGCAUUAAGUUGUCGGGCAGGGGAUACCCAUCGUUUACUGUGAAAAAAUUAGAGUGUUUAAAGCAGGCUUAUGCCGUUGAAUAUAUUAGCAUGGAAUAAUAAGAUAGGACUUCGGAACUAUUUUGUUGGUUUGCGUUACGAAGUAAUGAUUAAUAGGGACAGUUGGGGGUAUUCGUAUUUCGUUGUCAGAGGUGAAAUUCUUGGAUUUCCGAAAGACGAACUACUGCGAAAGCAUUUACCAAGGAUGUUUUCAUUAAUCAAGAACGAAAGUUAGGGGAUCGAAGAUGAUUAGAUACCAUCGUAGUCUUAACCAUAAACUAUGCCGACUCGGGAUUGGUGG
rnacentral:rRNA from 1 species